rnacentral:rRNA from 1 species
AGAGUUUGAUCCUGGCUCAGGACGAACGCUGACGGUGUGCUUUAGGCAUGCAAGUCGAACGAGAAAGCCCUUCGGGGUGAGUAAAGUGGCGAACGGGUGAGUAACACGUGGGCAACCUGCCCCUCGCAGGGGGACAACCGGAGGAAACUCCGGCUAAUACCUCGUACGCUUGUUGGAUCGCAUGGUCCGGCAAGGAAAGGUAGCUUCGGCCAUCCGGCGAGGGAUGGGCCCGCGUUGCAUUAGCUAGUUGGUGGGGUAACGGCCUACCAAGGCGACGAUGCGUAGCUGGUCUGAGAGGAUGAUCAGCCACACUGGGACUGAGACACGGCCCAGACUCCUACGGGAGGCAGCAGCCAGGAAUCUUGGGCAAUGGGCGAAAGCCUGACCCAGCAACACCGUGUGGGCGAUGAAGGCCUUAGGGUCGUAAAGCCCUGUUGAUAGGGACGAAGGGCGAAGGGUUAAUAGCCCCUAGCUUGACGGUACCUUUCGAGGAAGCCCCGGCUAACUACGUGCCAGCAGCCGCGGUAAUACGUAGGGGGCGAGCGUUGUCCGGAAUUAUUGGGCGUAAAGAGCGUGUAGGCGGUUCGGUAAGUCUGCUGUGAAAUCCUGGGGCUCAACCCCGGGCGUGCAGCGGAUACUGCCGGGCUAGAGGGUGGUAGAGGCGAGUGGAAUUCCGAGUGUAGCGGUGAAAUGCGCAGAUAUUCGGAGGAACACCAGUAGCGAAGGCGGCUCGCUGGGCCACACCUGACGCUGAGACGCGAAAGCGUGGGGAGCGAACAGGAUUAGAUACCCCAGUAGUCC